CAUUAAGUGGCUGAAAUGCAAGCAAUGAUCUCUUAAAUCAUAUUAUAAUAUAACUAGCAAAUAUUCUUAAUGA
rnacentral:tRNA from 1 species